UUCACCUUUUCUAAAUGAACUAAACCAUGAAGAUGCUUGAAAGUCACCGGCCUCUGGAUUGUACUUGGAGGUGUAUUGGAAGGAAGGAGUUACAGCUUAUGAGAUCCAGUUUUUCCUAGAGAAGAAAUCUGUGAGGGUGGAGCCCUGGCACAGGUGCCCAGAGCAGCUGGGGCUGCCCCUGGAUCCCUGUGAGUGCCCAAGGCCAGGCUGGACACUGGGCUGGGAGCACCUGGGGCACUGGGAGGUGUCCCUGCCAUGGCAGGAGGUGGAACAAGGUGAAUUUCAGGUCCCUUCCAACCCAAAGCAUUCUACAUUCUAGGAUUUCAGUCUCAUUCCAGGCAGCCUGAUGUCCUGAAAGUGCUGUGGGUUUUGGCCGUCGCUCUUCAGGCGCUGUGGGAUCCUCCAGCAGCAGUCUGCACGUGGUGCCCUGGCACACAUAACACAUCCCCCGCUGGCCACUCACUGACUGAUCCAUUGGUCCGGAGCACUAAAGCUGCCUCGGUGUAAUUCAGUAAAUAACUAUCCGGUUAUUUAGUGUAUAAAUGCCUCUAAUUGAUGUGGAAAUGGGAGGCGUUUCCUCCCAUUCCUUAAAGAAAACAUGGUGUGAAUUAUCACUUCACAUUCGCGGAAAAGGCAGAUUUCAAGCAGCAUAACACAAUAAAAGGAACAAGUUUUUCUCUGUGUGAGCACGCAGAUUUUCCCUACUUGCAAUGAAAUGCUGGGGUCUUGAAAUGUCUGUGAGGCUUGAAAGUGGUACAGGUUGCCUGAAGAAAAAUUGGGGGUUGUUUUUAGAGUUUUUAAAACAGCUUUCUGCUGCUUUCUGCUGAUUUGUGUCUCUGGAGUCUCAGCUGGUGUCCAGCAGAGCUUGGUGGCAGUGCAGCCGUGUCCCUGGCUGUCCCCAGGUGCCCCCAGGUGUCCCCGGGCUCGCAGGUGUGCAAGGGCUGAGCCUGGGCAGGGCACCGGGAGCGGGGCUGGGGCUGCUCCUGGAAGGGGCCGGGAAGUGCUGGGAGCUGCUCUCGGUUCCUCAUUUCCCCCGAGGUGAUGGAGAGCCCCGGGAAGGGCAGGUCCUGCUGGGACCCCGCCUGAGUUACGACGUGUCCGAGUGGGCAGGGGCAGCAACAAAUGUCUUCUAAGCUAAAGAGGCAAUGAAGUGAUGAAACAAGAGCAAAAUCCAGCCCAAAACGUUGAUCAGUGCACGUGGCACAGGUUCUGUGAAGCCCCCGUUUGUUUGUUUUGAUAGCAGAGCUGGAAUGUGGCUUUUGUCUCUUUCCCCCUUUAUCCCUGCCUUGCACAGUAGCGGCUUCCUUAACUAGGGAAACAGAAGUUUCAAAGAGAAGACUAAUUCCUUGCCAAGGCGUUCUCCACACCUGGAGUUUGGACCCCCUUUUGGUAACAGCCCUAUUUUUUUUUUUUUAAUUGUGUUCCAGCUGCAAUUCCUGCAUAAUCUCCAGAGGAGUGAGGGUAGAGUUUAAGAAGAAAUCUCUGCGGUAACACAGGGAGAAACACAGCCUGAUAACUCCUGACAGAUUGAUGGCUCCUUCCUUCACCUAAAUCUUUCUAGAUUAGCACGUCCAUUUCCUUUUCAUGGAUAUGUUUGUUAGCACUGCAUGAUCUAGCCUAAUCUGUGUGGGAAGUUAUUUAUCCAGGGGCUGUGGGGCAUUUAUACCAUUCACUUGUCACCAAGAAUAAUGGAGAGGACAGGUAAGAUAAUUCCAACUGUAUUAAGGGCUGAGAGAUGACUGUUUGUGUUUUGGUAAUGGGACACUCAGAAUGAAGGAUCUGAAAUGGUUUUGUAACAUAUUUGCUGAAAACACCCAUUUUAAAUGGAUUUCAUUCCUUUUAUUCCUCUGUUUCAUGAGGGUGCCUGGGGUUGCUCUGGCAGAAGGAGACAUCAAUUGCCACUUGGGGGUGGCCCAAGAGACUUGUGAGCAAAGAUGCACCGAAGGAGCCUUUCCUGCCAUCCUGCUGCUUCGCCAGAUGUUCUCCAUUUGCUGCCUGUGCAGUGAUUUCUCCUCUCUAGGCAUCCUGUAACUGCCUUCAUCUCGCUGAUUUCACAGCACUCCCACGGCAUCAAGAGCACUUUGAAUUCUGGUCCCGUCCUCCAGAGCUCUCACAAUCACUCCCAGCCUCCUGUCACCCACAAAUGCUAUCAGCAUCUCCUCUGCUCCAGCCCAGAGGGAGCAGGAGCUCCCUGAGGUCCCCACAGCCUCUCAUCUUCCCAGGGCACCCCAGUGCCCAUCCUUGGGCUGGUGACGUUCAAGGCAUUCAUUCUGACCGUGUGAGAUUUUACUCAGACUGUGCUUGCUGAGUUCCCCUUGAGUGUGUUUGAGGAGCACCUGCUCACCGUGGCACACCGUGUGUCACAGCCCUUGGUGAUGGUCAUUUGCCCCCCAGGACCUUCUCUCCUUCCACUUCCCUGACCAAGCCCUCCUUAAAGCUGCAUUUCAGUUUUUAUUAUUUAUUCUCAAGAAAUGUAUAAACCUCUGCUGGCUCUGUCUCCUGGGCCACCAUCUAAUCUUCCAGGUGAUGACAACUUGAUUGGUGAAUAAUAGAUUCCAGUCUCUUCCCAGCUGCUGAAUGGAGCUGUAAUUUCUAAAUGCAUCCUUGAAGAAGGAGCAGAGCUUGUCCUUCUCCAGGGGUUGGUUUUUAAUCAGCCCAGUUGUCUUUUCAGCGUUGAAAACUUCUUUUCAUUGUAAUAUGCAAAAAACCCAAACAUGGAAAUGAACCAUUUACCUUGAAUUAGUGUGCAGAUUAGGGACCCAAUGUUUUGGAUGCUGCAGAAAUCCUAUAAGUGCUGUUCUCUGCUCUGGAAAACUUUAAUAUUAAGCAGGCAAGGUAAGCAACUGAAAAACUGAAAACAGACACCAGGGGAUUGAAUGAAUUGCUGAGGCAUAGAUCAGUGUCACGCUGGAGAUUAAAAGUCAGUCUCUCUGAAACCCAGAAGAAAACUUUGCUGUUGCUCUGAUCGCUUUUUUUGAUGGGCUGUGGAAAACACAGAAAAAUGAAACUGGUCCCUUGAAAACAUUCCAAGUUGAAGAAUGACAUGAAAUGUGAUUUUUAUAAUUUCAAAUAUGGACAUUUAAAAACUUCACUAAAAUCCCAAUAAGAACUCUCAGAAUAGGUUUGGUGGGUUUUUUUGUUACUCUGUAUUUGUACUUUCAAUGCAGAAAGAACCUACUGAUAUACCUGUCUCAUAACGUUAGCAAAAAGAAUACUUGGAGAAAGCUGAA